AACGAGGACUUGAACCUAAGAAAAGGGUUAAGAAAGGAACUGGAAAACAUAUUCACUGCCCUGUGUUUGUAUGCAAUCCAAGUCAACCAAUUAAACAUGAUGAUACGCUGGACUUUAUCCGACAAUUUUCUGACAAAGUUAAUGAUCACUUUGGUCGUAACGCAAUGGUUGUCGUCACUCAUAAAGGGAAACUGGAUGACUCUGCAGAAGCAGAUGGAAGCUUGGAUGAUGUAGUGUUUAAGAUUAAAGAUCGAGGUAGUGUUCCUAAGAAUUACAUAUAUACAUUUGAAAACUAUACUGAAGAUUGCCACGUUCACGAUGCAAAGAAAAGUAUUGAAUACUUGAAGUUUCUGUCCGCGUGCUUGGACUUAGGAGAAAGGAAUAUCAGAUUUAAGUUGGAAAAAGCAGGUGAGCGUAAUUGAAAGGUCAAUCACUUUUAGACUGCAUGUUCUAAUAACGGAAGGUCCAAACACAAUUCGUUUAAGGAUCGCAGAUGUAUGCAGAUUGCACACUAUAUUUGGAGUAUAGAUCAUUAAUAAGAUAUCAAGCAUUAUUUUCAAUUUCGGAGGACAGAUCAACGUGAAGAAUAAGCUUGAUUAUAAGUAUUAUUAUACUUUU